ACCUAGCAACAGGAGCCAUGUUGGAAGACCAAUCAGUCUGUUGGAAGUCCUCCAAUAGUCCAAAAGGCUGGAUGUGUUCUGCUAUCACUGGAAACUUCGGGAAGAUUGUCCAUUAUUUUGUUUUUCUAAGGACCCAGAAAACGGAGGCAUUGGGAGAACCUAUUCAAAUAUAGAGAGCCGUGAAACCCUGUCUGCAGCUGAAGAGGUCCCAAUGAAUGUCCCAAGAGAAUAAAGGAGCCUCCCGAGUGACGUAGCGGUCUAAGGCACUGCAUCGCAGUGCUAGAGGCAUCACUACAGACCCAGAUUUGAUCCCAGGCUGUGUCGCAGCAAGACAAGACCAGGAGACCCAUGAGGUGGCGCACAUGCACAAUUGGCCCAGUGUCAUCCAGGUUAGGGGAGGGUGUCCCAUCACGCGCUAGCAACUCCCUGUGCCAGGCCAGUAUGGUAUUUCCUCCGACACAUUGGUGCUUCUGGGUUAAGCAAACAGUGUGUCAAGAACAUGUGCAGCAUGGCAGGGUUGUGUUUCGGAGGAUGCUUUCAACCUUCACCUCUCACGACUCCAUACGGGAGUUGCAGCGAUGGGACAAGACUAACUACCAAUUUGGAUAUCACAAAAAGGGUGUAAAAAGUCAACUUUUUUUUUUUUUUUUUACAAAGAAAUAAGUUAUAAUUAACUUAACUAUAUUAUUCAAGAUGAACUAGUGUCAAUGUCGAUUAACCACAGCUCACAAUCCUGCAAUAAAGAGGGUAAGGGAAUUUGUCUCUUCUCAAAUGAGCACUACCUAUGUUUUUGUUCAGUUGUAAGCUGUCCAAUUAGUUUUGUUUGUCACUUUUUUUUCAAGAUACAGCAUCAGCCAUGUGAACCCAUUUUGCAGCUGAUAAUGGCAUGCAAAGCCAAUGCAGUUAUAGACCUACAGCAGUGGUUCCCAACUCCCAUCCUUGAGUACCCCCAAUAGCACACAUUUUUGUUGCAGUUCUAGACAAACAUACCUGAUUCAUCUGAAUGAGAGCCUGAUGAUUAGUUGAUUCAGGUGUGCUUGUCCGGGGCUACAAUAAAACGGUGUACCUUUGGCAGUGAUUACAGCCUCGAGUCGUCUUGCGUAUGAUGCUACAAGCUUGGCACACCUGUAUUUGGGGAGUUUCUCCAAUUAUUCUCUGCAGAUCCUCUUAAGCUCUGUCAGGUUGGAUGGGGAGCAUCAUUGCACAGCUAUUUUCAGGUCUCCAGAAAUGUUAGACCGGGUUCAAGUUCGGGCUCUGUCUGGGCCACUCAAGGGUCGUUGUCAUGUUGGAAGGUGAACCUUCUCCCCAGUCUGAGGGCAUGAGUGCUCCGCUCUGGAGCAGGUUUUCAUCAAGGAUCUCGCUUUCUUUUGCUCGGUUCAUCGUUCCCUCGAUCCUGACUAGUCUCCCAGUCCCUGCCGUUGAAUGAUGCUGCCACCACCAUGCUUCACUUUAGGGAUGGUGCCAGGUUUCCUCCAGACAUGACACUUGGCAUUCAGGUCAAAGAGUUCAAUCUUGGUUUCAUCAGACCACAGAAUCAUGUUUCUCAUGGUCUGAGAGUCUUUAGGUGCCUUUUGGCAAACUUCAAGAGGGUUGUCAUGUGCCUUUUACUGAGGAGUGGCUUCCGUCUGGCCACUCUACCAUAAAGGCCUGAUUGGUGGAGUGCUGGAAAGAUGGUUGUCCUUCUGGAAUGUUCUCUCAUCUCCAGAGGAGCUCUGUCAGAGUGACCAUUGGGUUCUUGGUCACCUCCCUGACCAAGGACCUUCUCCCCUGAUUGCCCAGUUUGGCCGGGCAGUCAGCUCUAGGAAGGGUCUUGGUGGUUCCAAUCUGCCAUUUAAGAAUGAUGAAGGCCACUGUGCUUUUGGGGACCUUCAUUGAUGCAGAAAGGUUUUGGUACCCUUUGUGCCUCGACACAAUCCUGUCUCCGAGCUCUUACAGACAAUUCCUUCGACUUAAUGUCUUGGUUUGUGCUCUGACAUGCACUGUCAACUUGGGACCUUAUAUAGACAGGUGUGUGCAAUUCCAAAUCAUGUCCAAACAUUUGAAUUUAUCACAGAUGGACUCCGAUCAAGUUGUAGAAACAUCUCAAGGAUGAUCAAUGGAAACAGGAUGCACCUGAGCUCAAUUUCGAGUCUCAUAGUAAAGGGUCUGAAUACUUGUGUAAAUAAGGUAUUUCAGUUUUUUUAAUAUACAUUUGCUAAAACAAUAUUGUUAAUAAUGGACCUCAUUGUAUAAUUUGUCUCCUCUUUUCAUGGCCAUGGCUAUAAGGGAUCCAACUUUUGUCAAAUUAAAAUAAUUGGACUUUCGUAGCAGAUUAGGAGAAUUUACGCUGCCGGCUAGGAGAAUUAACGUAGCAGGUUCUGAGAAUUACGUAAGGAAGGGGGUUAGGCUUAACUAAAAUGCAAAACAAAUAACUUCAUAUUAAUUUAACAAAAGCUGUAUUUUUUUUCCUUCAUAGGCCUAGAUUACGUUGUUACAUCAAAUCAAAGUGUAUUUGUCACAUGCGCUGACUACAACAGGUGUAGACCUUACUGUGAAAUGCUUACAAGCCCUUAACCAACAAUCCAGUUCAAGAAAUAGAGUUAAGAAAAUAUUUACUAAAGAAACUAAAGUAAAAGAUUUACUAAAAAGCAACACAUAAAAUAACAAUAACGAGGCUAUGUACAGGGGAGGGGGUACCAGUACCAAGUAAAUGUGUGGGGGUACAGGUUAGUUGAGGUAAUUUGUACAUCAAAUAUAAUUGUAUUGGUCACAUACACAUGUUUAGCAGAUGUUAUUGCGGAUGUAGCGAAAUGUUUGUACAUGUACAGGAGGUAGGGAUAAUGUGACUAUGCAUAGAUAAUAAACUGCAAAUUCAAGACACGGUCAUCUGUUGUCAGAAGAGGGUAGGAUUUUAUUAAAAUAUAUUGUGCUAAUAAGGUCUCCAGUCAAAGUAUAGUAGAAGUGUAUGACAUGUUUAUCAAAGGCCACAUUUUUCCUGUGCAAAGGAAAUAAGUCUCUGAUAUAGCCUAUAGGCCCAUUCCACUACGCACUCAUUGAUAGCCUGCAUUAUGACUAUCCAAUCUACUCAUAUUAGGAAUAGUAGGUUUACAUAAGGCUGCAAAUGCGAUGAUGGAUGCAUGUGAUCCUUUGUAAUAAAGGUGCAUUUUUAUGGUGAAAAAAUAGCUUCCCCAAAACUUGAAACUCACAUGACACAUGCUAAUAGCUACACUACAAGCUAUCUAGCUAGCUAAUUCUGGCUAACUUAGUGUUGUUGUCAACACCUGGUUAGAAUAACAGCUUAACUCAAAAUCGAACAGACUUGACCUAUCAGUGAUAAAAGGAUAGUAGCAGACCACAUACUGACAGCUGUCUGAAUUUAGGGCUUGACGGUCAAAAAGGUUUCUUUACUUAUCCGACAGUUCUUGAGUCUUAUCUCCUUGGUGUCAACAAUGGUGUUUCAUGAUUGCGGGGAAUCUUUCAAAAAAAAUAUCCCCAUUGUCUUUUCUGCCUUGCUAGAGCAGCUAAAUACUGCACAGAAAAUGACCGUGGUGAUGAAUCAACUAGUUUUAGGCACUGCUAUCAUGCCGUUGUUGGUUGCUACUCAGCUGUUGUCAGAAGAAUUCAGGCGGUGGUCUUCUAACAUGGCAGCCAGAAGGCGUCGUACGUCAACUGCAAGACCUCUGUGUUUUUACAACAUUUGUUGACACUGUACAACUACCAGCAUUAAGUACCAGCCUCUAGUGACACAGAACAUCCAAGAAGUGAUAACAAGCACUGUAGUUUGUGAAAAUAUGUGGAUUGUCUUGCAUUACACAGGUGUUGCUGUGGUAGCUGUUGAGAGAGCAAGAGAGGGAGAGAGGGAGGGAAGAAGUGUGGACUGUGCAGUAUGCCAUGGCGACAGUGCAGUAGCUCAUGGUGUACAGACAGGCCCUCUGCGUGUGGUGUUCUGCAGCAUCAGCAUUCGGACAGGGGCCAGACGCUCGAUUUAUGGUGCCAGGGAGCGGAAAUGACCUGCUUCUGUCAUUGGGUGUAUGCCCCAUCACGAGAGGCCCUAAACUAUAUUGGCACAGCUCUGACAGACAUGUUUGUCAUCUAGUCAUCUUUGAAGAUACCAAGCAAGCAGUAUUAUUGAUUUGACAAGCUCCAGCUAUCUCUCUAGGUGCACACUGUUCCUGUCUCUCUAGCCCACACCACCGUGCCUGAGAGGCAUCCCUGUGGAUCCCACGUUGGUAUGAUUAAUACCAUAAUUUCUAUGAUUUACACUAUAUUCAACGGAAAUACAGUAGCAUAUCCUAUUAAGUUUAAAAGGAAUCAGAAUUCCUGUACAUGCAUAAGCAAACUCUUCCUCGUUGAUUAGUUCUCAUUAAUUAUUUCAACAGUCAUUUAUGCGUUUUGUAUGCCACCUUACCUGCUAUAUAAUUACCUAUACUAUCUGUAUGACGUUUUGAUUUAUUUCGAGUGUGCUACAUGAUCCAAUGGACCGCAGACUCGUACGAGGAAGUGAUUCCAUGCUGCUCUGAUGCAUGAACCUUCUGGUAGUGUUGCAUGAACAGUGACACCUUCUGGCACUCCCUAAACACAAUCCAAACAAGUUAAAUGUGUACAAAAGUUCACCCUAAUCAUAGAGCAUAGUAAAACCAAUUGAUUUCUUAUGUGUAAUUAUUUAAUUGUGAAAUUAAUGAAUGGAAGAUGAAUACAAUACUUAUAUGUAGUGAGUUAGUUCAGCCUUGAGAUGUGAAAUAUUAGUUAAUCUUAUUUAUUUGUUUUACCUUUAUUUAACUAGGCAAGUCAGUUAAGAACAAAUUCUUAUUUUCAAUGAUGGCCUAGGACAGAUGUUUACCUUGUCAGCUCGGGGAUUCAAUCUUGCAACCUUUCGGUUACUAGUCCAACGCUCUAACCACUAGACUACCUGCCGCCCCUUAUGUCUUACAUUUUGUGAUGAAUAACAAUGGGAUUAUACACAUGUCAAUCACAUCUAAGAGCUACACCACUGACUGAAACACAUCAAACACUUUGUCACCAGGUAUUUCUCAUCCAAAUGUAUCAAGAGCAGAAUAACGUUUUACCAUUUAGUAGCCUAAACUCAUACCCUGGAGACAAUACACCACAGCUUUCAUUAUCCAAUCACAAACUCAUAUGUUUCCCUUUGUCAGAUGAUGUAAAUGUGAUUCCUUUUAAUUAUGGCCAUUGACUGGAAACUCCAAAUUAAUUUGAUUACGUUUUGCAUAUAAAAAUCCAUCUUAAUUAUUACCCAAUUAACACAAAUUAAGGCACGUUAAAAGCCAGGCAUUAAAAUCAAUUUGUGAUUAUGUCUUUUUUGACUGAAAAUAUGCUUUAAUGAGUGAAUGUGGGGACAUAGGGCAUUGUUUCGGGAAUGAAAAUGUGUGAAUUCCGUUGUAAAACAGAAUUAGCAACAUGGAUAAAUGAAGCACAUGAGAAUUGACUAUAGCCUCAGCUUAAAUGUCCUUCUUCUUCUAGCUAUAAUCCUUCUACAAUUUAAAGAAUACGGUAUCUAACUGUACGUACACUCAAAAGAAUCAAAUAAAUCUGCCUCCAAACACAACAGGAUGACACACAACUUCAGCGGCCACACGAUUAAUACAAAACUGAUCAUAUUUUGUAGAUGAAAAAAUGCACAUACUUCCCUCUUCCUAAUACCACUAAAUCCAUGAUCUGUUUUCAUCUAUUCAAUCUGCCAAAUCUUUAAGUAUUUUCCCCAUUCCCCAAGCCCAUCCACAGAGCACUGUUUCACAUCCACUCAAAUGAAUAUUUUAUAGAGAUGCAAAGAUUUUCUCCUUCUCAAUGUGCAAUCAAAUGCAAUGCAAUGCAGUGCUGCAGAGAUGUUAAAGGAGAGAUAUAGAGACACAUCUAAAGGAAGAAAUCCAUUUUUCUCUGCCCUUGCAUUCAUUACGGAAUCAAUGCUCCUCUCGGGAGACUGGUUCAAAAACCCUGUUUUAUUUUGAUCUUCAGAGAAACAAAUGCUCUUGGAAGUCGCCACAGUACAUGCAUUAAAAGAUUGGCGAGGCUAGAAAUGAAUACAGUAACCCGGCUGACAUCACAUUAUGAUGUGGAAUGUUGACUGGGUCUUUAUGGACAUGUUUUUUGAAGGAGAAAGACAAGGUCAAACCAGUGGGUAAAACAAAGUGCUUUUCUACUAUAUUAUCUAUGUGUAUUCAUACAACCUGGAUAACUAAUGGUAUUAAUUUUACUGCGGAUGUAGAAAGUGCUUUGUUACAUUGAGUUACAAUUUAUUGUUGUUAUCCAUCUAGAGAAAGACCCCAAACAAACGCAUGUGAUUGGUUAAACAUAUUCACAAAAUGAGCAGAGUAGAUACAAACCAGGUACAACUCAGUUUUAAAAAAUGACAGGAUUAUAGUUAAAAUAAAUAAUAGCAGUUUACAGGAAGCUAAUGCAGCAACAUAUACCAUUUUCAUUCAAUUUGGGAGAUUUAUGUGUAUCACUGAUCUGUUCAAUUGAAUUCAAAGAAUAAUGCAAACAUUUUUCCCCGCAUGACCAUUAUUUACAUAAUCAGGCUUCUACUGAUUCCAAUACUGAGAAAGGUAAACAUUCUUUCAGAGUCAAUGUGGCAAUAUUGGAUUUAUAGUAUCUUUGGGGGUAUAGAAUUAAGGUUAAAAGGAUGUUACACAAUACAGUUGGCCGCUGUUUCAUGGUGGAUCUCAUAUAUUCAGACAUAUUUUCAUUACAUCCCUUCCAGUUUCUCUGGAAGUCUGCCCUCUACAGCAUGUGAUACAUUUUGGGCCUCCUGUUAUAUUUAUUGUCAUGUUUAAAACACUGUAAUGCUUAAGCAUUUUAAUUAGUACUCUGCACUUUAUCAUGAUCAUUGCUCAAGCUUGCCUAAUGAAGUUUGUAUGGCCCAAAUCUCCAUCAAAGGAAACUAUUAACUUGUAUGGUAAUGAAUAAGAGGCUUACAUCUUUCCCAUUCAGACCAGGCAAUAACAGCUCUACUUUGGGUUGGCCAAGCAAAAUAAACACUUAUCAAUAUUAUGUUCAGGGUUUGAGGCAUUGGCUAUCUUUUAGUGGAGACUACAGUUGCUCCACAUUCAUGUAACACAUGGUUUUGUUUUAUAAUAAAUCAUCAUGAGAUUUCACUGUCAGGUUAUGUUCUAACUUUCCUCAGCUCAAUAGUAACUGCAAGCAUGGUUCCUAUGGUUAUAGAGGGAAACUGAAAGAGACAAAUCAAAUAUGAUCCAUCCGCGUAUUCCUUUAUAAUCCUUCUCUAAUGGCUGUCUUUAAGGGCCAUGAGGGUGUGAUUGGUUAUGUAGCCUAGUCAGUUUUUUUGCAUGCAUAGCUGCCUGAGAGGCAAGUAAAUGUGAUGGUUUCAGAUUUGAUUAGGCAGCCCACGGGCCUCAGCAGUCCAGCCCUGCGACGGGCAGGCAGGGGCCUUGUACAAGCGUCUCAUUGCUCACCAUGCCUCAGUGGUGAUGUACACACCAAGUGUGACCACUGCUUGAUUUAAACAGUCCACCCUGGAUCUGAGGGUGCGCUCGAUGCAAGUUUGUAACCCAUCCAUCUAGCGAACACUGGACAUUGGUCUCACCCAAUUACUUUUGGGAUACCAUUCUAGUGCAUUUAUGUUUGGAGUAAGUGACACACUAUUGUGAGAUUAUAUCAUUGAAAUAUGUGUACAUGAGUUUUUCUGUUAUGAAAGAAUGACUCUACUUUCUACCUUCUGUCACAAGUUCUGUAUUUCAUGUUUUACUGUAUAGAAUCAUUCAAAAUCAGGGGUGGAAUUGAAGGAAUUUGACACUGGCCAGCCGGGCUUGUAGACCACCAUUUUUAUAUGCCCAGUCCAGAAUCUAUGUCAAGCGAUAUUUGAAAAGACACAAAAAAAAAAUACAAAAUCAAGUUUGUCAAUUUAAAUGUAAGAGUGAUGAUUAUAAAGUGAUCACAAUUCUUCAUGAAAAAGACAAUAUUAUGGUGACACUCUUUGACCCACCUGUAUGUAAAUAUAUCAUGAAUCGUGCCUUUAAGACUUGUUAUAAGCAUUCAUAACGGCUUAUAGUUCCUUUAUAAAAUUCCAUUGUAUGUAUAGUAUGCAGUGUUUGUUAUUCAUUACGCCUGACUCAUAGAGAGCGUAAUUCAUAAGAUCAUGAAAUACGUCAUUUUGCGUCUCUCUGGUUUUUGAUAGAUAGAUACCACAACAUACAUCUCUUAUUCCCUGAGUGAAUUUAUUUAGAUGUCCAAGUAUUCAGGAAUUCAUUUGGCAGAAGCACAUUUCUUCACUUUGGUGCCUAGUAACCUUAGCUGUAUGAUUAUAUUUGGAAAUGUCAUUCUUUAUUCAAACCCUUGGCCUUGAGGCCUUUAACUAAAAUGCUUUGCUUUAUAUAAAUGAGCAAGUUUAUUUUCAUUUCCUAAUGGUCACCGCAGCCAUACAGUAAUGAGCAGCACCAAGGAGAAUUGUUAUUUUCUUAAGGACCAAAUUAAAAAGGAAAUCCCAGGUAGCUAAAUCAUUACAGAGGAAAGCCUAGAGGACUGUUUCCAUGUUAUUAGUCUACAUGCUUGGACUUCCUGGUCCUACAGGGUGGGGGGAAUAUAUGUGAUAAAUAGUGCAUCUGUUCAAUUUCAGACUACAAGUUGUUAAUGAGGACUUUCCUCUUUUCUCUUUUUACAGCUUCAGUAGUUCAUACUCACAGCAUAUGCCAAUAUGGUGGCAGGUUUGGAGACGUAAUGCAACAUUCUAGUGAAUUGCUGUUGAAUUAGUUGAUGUAAUUUUUCUGUUGCAUGGAGAAUACACAUGAUUAAUAUUUUUGGAGGGGAAAAUUGUGUAUGUUGUUCCUUUUAAUAGAAACAUAGGUAAAGCUACCCGGUAUUAAAUAUAAUUUUUGGGUCUUCACUGUUUUUGUGUGUGGUCGUGAUGAGUGAUGACAUGUGAAGUAUGACAUCAUGCCAGUGGGUGGCUUGUAAGAGCACUGUACCAGUGAGGUCACUGGUCUCAUAAUGACCUCCUCAGGGUUCACAGCAGCAGCAGCCUUCUUCUCUCUGGCCCUACUGUAGGUCUCCCCCUCUCCAACCCACCCUGGCCAGCACAACGCUUGGCUAGCCUCUGCGCUCAUUGUCUUUAAUCAAGAGUCAGGGGCAUAAGGACGUAGCGAGUCAGCCCAUUCAUGCCCAGUGGGCUCCUUAUUUUCAGAAAGGCAGAUGAAGCCGAGUGGAAAAGCCUCUUACACAUAGCUAUGUGGUCCUCUUACACAAUACACUGAUCGCCUGUCUGCUGUGAGGCAGUGGCCAGUCAGUGAUUGGACAUGGAAACAUUCAAAUAUGUUAUCCAUUAUUAUCGAAUGUACAUGAUCAUGGUCUAUGAAUAUUGUCUUUCAAUAUACUCUUCAAAACAAUGUAUUUUCAGCAUAUUAUAGUAUAUCACAUUGGUUCAGAGUAAUCUGAAACAGGCCUGGAGUCAGUUCCCCGACAAUGGUGUAUCUAAGAGGCAGGAUGAGAGGCAUGUAAAUCAGGCAGACCAUGCUCUUCUUUAAUAUUUAACACAGGUUAUUAGACAGAGCAAAGUUGUGACUCCCAGAACACUUCUGCGCAUCACAUGAAUAACUAACGCUGGCUGAUUAUGCUAAUAAGUAGUACUAGGAGGUUGUAAUGACCAGGAGUGUACCUCUACUGAUGCUGGAGAGGCUAUAAUCACAGACACAUCACAAAAACACACCCCAAAUGCACCAUUAGCCUUAACACAGCAAUUCUUUACCAAGCAAUCUGCUUUACCCUUCAUGUUUCUAGACUAUGUGUGCGAUCUCUCUUUAUGGGAGGAAACCUGAUGCAUUUUUAAACCCACAGUCUCUGAUCUUCCCUAACAAACGCAUAAAUGCAUGUGAUGAGGACAGGUCUUCGGGCACCCUCAUAGUUCAGUCUGAAAUGCUGGCUGUACCAUUCUAUAGCCUUACUCUACAGAUAAAGAUAUUGAAAUGCAUUUCAUGUGCUCAGAGGCCUUGUGUCAAUUGUGUCAUUCUAUCACAUGGGCAAGUGAACUGAGCUGUAGGAGAAGCUCUCACAAAAUCACUUGGUCCUCCUUCAUAGACGACAGCACUGAUUUUAGAAGCUUAUUGCUGCAUCACGGAGCAAGUAAAUGUCUUUUCUCCUGUUUUAUUUUGACCCACAGAUAAAAGCGUGCUCUUGGAAACCCAUCUGGAGGCAGAGUGGGUUGAGCGUGGCUAUAUUCCAUCACCAUCACCACAGUUCUUUGGCCGCCACCAUAAAGAAUUCCAACGAGACAAUUUUGCAGUGCGCAGGGCGAGCUGACAGGGAGUGUUAUUAAAGCGCAGGGUGCUGACCGCUCUGAAAGUUAUUAAAGUGCUCUGAGAUUGUGUCUGUGAUAGCCCUGCCGGGGUGUCCUUCACACACACACACACACAGCGGUACAUUACAGUGAGGACGUGGUCAUCGCAGAGAGAGGGGGUGUACAGGGGGGAGUACAGAUCAGACAGACACACCAGGGCCCACCGUGAUGACAGAGAGAGAUGUCAUUGUCUUCAUCCCCCCCCAUUAAUGCUGCCAAUGGCUGCAGAGAGAAACUACAGUUUACCUGCUGGCCAGGGAUCCUCUGGACUGGAGUACCAGUGUAAAUACCGUAGUGGUGUACUGUAUGUCAAGCAUGCUAUGAAUGAAACUCUGAAACAGUUGUAGUUCACUCAAUAGUCUUGAUUGAUGAAAGAGUGGAUGUUAGAGCAGUUACGUGAGGUCUGUCCCUGCAUGGCUCAUUCACACCAAUCAGAGGUUAGAAUAUAUCACUUAACCGUUGGACCUAUGAGGCCAUGGUUAGCUACAGGGUUGAAAGUGCUCCCUCAGAGGGCAAAAAUCCAAUAUAGAUUAUUGAAGCUCAUCUAAUCCAUAUGUUUAACCCAACCUAUAACAAUCAAUUGUGCAUGACAAUAUGGGGUCGUAAUGAAGGACUAAAUAUGAUUUUCAUGACCACGACAAGGCUAUCAUCAUCUAGAAGAGGACAUAUAUUAAAAGAUUAAUUGAACAGGUCAUGAAAAAACAAUUAUUAAAGGUUGCUAAUACUUUGCAAAACCUAAAGUACACUAAAGUGUACACUAUAUUUUGUAUUGAUAACAAAUAGUCCUAGUAUCAUAUGUUGAAUAUAUGAUAAGGCAUUCUUGCCACAUGAAAGAACAAGAACAUUGACUGGUCUGCUCUAUGCUUUUUGCCUGAUCUCUCAGUAAAUCCCAGUGAUCCGUUUGAAUGUGUUGGCAGCCAACAGUGUAAGAUGAUAGGCAAAUAGGAUGAGGGCUAAUGGACUGAUUCUGUGGGUUUUACAAGAGAGAGAGAAGUGGCCCAGCACAUCAAUCCGCUGUCUAUCCGCACCCUCUCAAUCUGUUUCAGUUCCACCCUGACGUGACAGCAUGGGGGACUACGGCCGUCUAUUCAUCACCAGGUCUGGAAAUAACAAGACACCUCCAGUUUGUCAUACUAGAUUAGUCUGUGGCCUGUAACCACUGUCUUGAAUAGUGUCUCCACCGUUACAUCUGAGGUGUCCACUAGACCACCACUGGAGACCUUGGGGGGAACACGGCUAUGUGUAUUGACAUGAGUUUGGCUCACUCGUGGGGAGGCAGAGUAGGCUGCUUCUUUCUCAGGCAUACACUAUCACUUACUGUGUGUGAACAAAGCCAAUACACUACGAUAAUUUCAAGUUAUAUUUUUUGGAGAAAAAUGUGUAAUAUGCUGUCAUAAGCAUUUUCCAACUUUAGUACCGUGUCAUGGGUCAUUACGUGUGGGACUCACAUGUAGAACAGUUGAGCCUUGCAUAGUAUAGUAUAUCCCUCCAAGCUUCUUCACAGAUCCCUGGGGCUCUUAUUCCUGGAUUCUGCACCCAAAAAAAUCAAUGGAUUGUAAUCCAUAAUAUUACUUAAUUGGUGAUUAUCAGUUACUUUGUGGAUCACAGGUCCUGGCUAUGAAAUUAGCCCCGGUCUUUAAUAAGAGCUUGACCAUCAAGUGUAAUGGACAGUGGAAGGUUUGCCCAGGACUGGAAUAGCUCCUCUCUGCCUGUCCUCUUGACCUUGAAUGGCUCUUUGAAAAUGGCAUAUCCUGCAGUAAGCCAGAAGCAAUAGAUGUACAUACAGUAUUAUAGAACAGUAUUUGUCUGGUUCAUUCAUCCCUUCCCCAUGCAACAAUCAUUUAGAAAUUGUACAGAUACAGCCUACAUUUACAUAGAAAGUGAUGAAUUAGUAAUACAAUAUGUGCAUGGUCCUCUGUGAUUCUAGCAUGGAGAACCUCUUGACUAAAACCAUAAUUAUGCAUUAUGAAGUACAUGUGUUUCAUAAGGGUAUUAUAUAACUAUGCAUCACUUAUAGCAAGUGCUCCCCUCUUAUGCAGAACAUGUGUGGGAGGUUUACUGUUGCUGUAGUCACAACAUUAUGAAAAUCAUAGCUUUUUAGUGUCCCCAUUAUUAUACUGUAUGUAGUGGAUAAGAUGUCCUGGGGGCUUCUAACACCUGGUAAUGUAAAAUAGUAUUUCAGGUAGUAUUCACAAUUGUUGCUGUCAUGAAAUAAGUACAAUUAUGUAUAAGCUUGAACACAUUCACACAAUGACCACAAAGAGAAGCUCCUAUCUCUCCGAGCGAUGCUCUCUGCUCCUGUUGAAUGAAAUUCAACCCAACCAAAAGGGGAAACAAAAGUGUCUAACAUCAACAAAGAAGCCAUUGCAUCUGCUUAUCUCGGACGCACUGGUUUUGUUUGGAGACCGGGAGCCCUUUGGCAACAAUGGUGGCUCCUCUCUAAAAUAUGGCUGUUUUGUGGUUCCCAUUCAGCCCAUGUUGAUGUGUUCUGUCUGCAGCUCCAGAGGCUCCCCUCCUCCUGUUUACCUGGGAGUCCUAUGGGGCGAGAUUUAGCUGAAAAGCCCAGUCGAAGCCAGUCAAAGGGAGCGUGGCGCAGGCCUGACCCUGGCGCUCCACUCAUUGUGUAGUGCAGCGGUGUAAUGAGGCCCUGUGUGGAUAUUGAUAUGACAGAACAAAAGGCCAAGGUGCAGUAAGGACAGCAAUCCACACGUUUCACACCAUUUGUUUUUCACACCGUAUCCAUCACAUUAAUGGGUCACCUUUCUGUGACAGCUCAUGAUUACCUGCUUACCCAUGGAGAGAAAAGAAGAGAGAGAGAGAGAGAUAUAUAAGGGGGUGGGGGAGACAGAGGGGGUUGAGAGAGAAAGAGGGGUAAGAUGAGGAACGGUAGAGAGAAACAGUGGGAAAAGAGUGAGAGAAGGAGCUCUAGUUAUGAGGGUAAAGGGUGAGCUGGGGUUGGAAGGGGCUUAGGGAGUGGGGGAUGGUAGGAGGGAGCUAGUGACAUUUUUAUUUUUUUCAUGAAGAUUGGCUCCAGCGCUGUCAUCAUCCCCACUGUGAAUUUAUGACAGGUCAGCUCUCCAUGUAGUCAUCUGAUGGAUGGAGAACAUCCACGUUUAUUUGGGGCAGAGUGGAAAUGGUCAGAACCAUUCCCCAAAGCACCCAUAGGCUUUUUUAAAGACCACUAUAGCAGAGGUGCUUGUUUAGUAUUUCACCAUAUACUGUAGCCUUAGAUUAGCACAACAUACCUACAUGUACAUUGAUUUACACUGGUCCUGAAAAAGGGAAACACUUUUCCAGGAGCGCGUACGUAUACUUACUGGGUUGUAAUUGCUGUCAGACAUUCUAAAACUGUCAUUUUUUUAAUAUAUAUUUUUUUAAAUGUACAUUAUAUGGAUUGUAUACCUGCUGGUUGAAUCUGUUUUUAUACACUGAGUGUACAGAACAUUAGGAACAUCUGCUCUUUCCAUGACAUAGACUGACCAGGUGAAUCCAGGUGAAAGCUAUGAUCCCUUAUUGAUGUCACUUGUUAAAUCCACUUUAAUCAUCGUAGAUGAAGGAGAGGAGACCGGUUAAAGAAGGAUGUUUAAGCCUUGAGACAAUUGAGACGUGGAUUGUGUAUUUGUGCCAUUCAGAGGGUGAAUUUAAGUGCCUUUGAACAGGGUGUGGUAGGAGGUGCCAGGAGCACAGGUUUGUGUCAACAACUUCAACGCUGCUGGCUUUUUCACACUCAACAGUUUCCUGUGUGUAUCAAGAAUGGUCCACCACCCAAAGGACAUCCUGCUAACUUGACACAACUAUGGGAAGUAUUGGCGUCAACAUGGGCCAGCAUCCCUGUGGAACGGUUUCGACACCUUGUGGAGUCCAUGCCCCGACAAAUUGAGGCUGUUUUGAGGGCAAAGGGGGGUGCAACUCAAUAUUAGGACUGUGUUCCUAAUGUUUUGUACACUCAGUGUACUGUAGGUGCAGCAAAACUAGUCUGUUGUUGAUACUUUGAAAGAAAGAGGCAUAAUAUCUAUGUGAAAUUAAAUCUCAAAAGUGUGUUCUCUCAAAGGUGUUUGUUUGCCAUAGUCAAAACAACUUUUUAAAACUCAACUUUAAUAAUUUCUUCCUGCUAACUUUUUUAAAUGAGUUAGGUGAAUGCUUUCUGCUUAGCUCAGUAGCUGUUGAUGUGUUCCAUUCUCAGAGCUACAUGUAGUGUCAUCUACCAAAUCUAGAGUCACUUACAAUGAGCAUUUUAACUUACUGUCAGUAUGAAGAGCAGAAAUAGCAAGAUCCCAUUUUAUGAUAAAAUAAAGACUAUGGCCAUGUAUCUUUCCAAAGUUACCUCAGCAUUUCAGGUGGGAUGCAGGGGAGGAAGAAAGAGGGGUAUGAGAGAGAGAGAGAUCACUUUGUCCCAAAUUAAAAGUCAGAAUGUCAUCCUUCGCUCUAAUUGCCUAGAACCAUUAUUGGACACUGCAAAAAAAUGUGUCUGCAUGUGCACUUAUCACUCCAUAGAGACAGAGUUCCAAGCAUGCAAACGUCCCUUCGCUCACUGUGUUUCAAUGGGUAAAGGAUUCGCUGUUUGACUGAAGACUGCCAUUUUGUGAUAUGUCAUGGUACCCAGCAGAUAUGAGGUGAAGGUGUCAAUAUAUCUUGUGUUUGGCCCGUGGAGGUUUACUCUGAACAGUAAAAACAUGAGUUAUGUUGGUGAAUCCAUACUGUGUUGAGGUGAUGUAAAUCAGAAGGGGGAGAAAUUGCUGACAAGUUUUACUAUUAAAAGAUAAUUGUAAUCAAGGUGCAGGACGAGCAAUGAAGUGGUGAUAGCAGAGAGAUGGACAGCUGGAAAAGAUGGAUUGUUUUAAUUUGCACCAAUUAAAUUGAAGUUCAUUGGAUCAUCUUCCUCAAUCUUCAUGAACACUUUAUUUUCUGGCCUCUACGAAGCUAUUAAAAAGAGGGAUUGAACCCUAAGACUUAGUAUACAAUAUUUUAUGUUAAACCAUCAUUAAAGAAAUGUGAGCAUGCUCUCUCCACCCUUCUGUAAUGAGUUUUGUAGAGAGAGAUGCAAAGCGGCAUGCUGAGGUGUUCAAACAGAUUGAUGUGAGGUUGGGGGUAACUUCAAACUCUCCCUGUCUUCGUCUACAGCAGUUUCAGCCUAGCCAGACUAUACCCUGUUGUGUGACUGUCUUUGUUGUUUGUACAUCAUUUACAUAUUCUAAUUUGGCUUGAAGCAAAUUCUAAAAACUAAACCUACAUUAAAAUGAUGCCUUCUUGACUCUUUUAAAACUCUCAUGGAUGAGAAGAAAACAAUUUAAUCUUUUAUCUGUUUUAGUCAUUUGUGUUCUAUGCCCUACCUCCUCUUACCCCAACCAGACCAAUAAACACAUAAAACAGUCUCGUUGGUUCUGUAAAACAUUACUGUACUCUUGCAACAUACUCUGUAAACUAUAGUACUCUGCCCAGUAUCUUUGAGUUGAUAUCAAAACUCGUUAUUUGCACUCAGAAUCUAUUAGCUAUGUUAAGCAUCUUAUGUCAUGAGAUCAAGGUUCAGUUUACUCAAAAAUGUUUUCCUUACUAAAUGUCAAACCUUUUACUCCAGAUGAGUUAAAUAUCAGGCCAUUUUGCAUGGACAAUUUAAUAUAGAAUCAACAAUAAAUAAAGCAUUUGA